UACGUAGGGUGCAAGCGUUAAUCGGAAUUACUGGGCGUAAAGCGUGCGCAGGCGGUUUUGUAAGUUUGACGUGAAAUCCCCGGGCUUAACCUGGGAAUUGCGUUGGAGACUGCAAGGCUAGAAUCUGGCAGAGGGGGGUAGAAUUCCACGUGUAGCAGUGAAAUGCGUAGAGAUGUGGAGGAACACCGAUGGCGAAGGCAGCCCCCUGGGUCAAGAUUGACGCUCAUGCACGAAAGCGUGGGGAGCAAACAGG
rnacentral:rRNA from 1 species